GACGCCGUGGCCUAAUGGUUAGCGUACUGGACUCCGGAUCGAGCGGUCCGGGUUCGAGCCCUGGCCAGGGUCA